CGUAGGCGGUUUUUUAAGUCAGAUGUGAAAUCCCCGGGCUCAACCUGGGAAUUGCAUUUGAAACUGGAAAACUAGAGUGUGUGAGAGGGGGGUGGAAUUCCAAGUGUAGCGGUGAAAUGCGUAGAGAUUUGGAGGAAUACCAGUGGCGAAGGCGGCCCCCUGGCACAACACUGACGCUCAGGUGCGAAAGCGUGGGGAGCAAACAGGAUUAGAUACCCUGGUAGUCCACGCCGUAAACGAUGUCUACUAGCUGUUCGUGAUCUUGUACUGUGAGUAGCGCAGCUAACGCGUGAAAGUAGACCGCCUGGGGAGUACGGUCGCAAGAUUAAAACUCAAAUGAAAUUGACGGGA
rnacentral:rRNA from 1 species